rnacentral:rRNA from 1 species
GACGAACGCUGGCGGCGUGCUUAACACAUGCAAGUGGAGCGACGAACCAUUUUCGGAUGGGGCAAAGCCGCGAACGGGUGAGUAACACGUGGGUAACCUGCCUUGAUGAUUGGGACAACCCCGGGAAACCGGGGCUAAUACCAAAUGUGCUCCUUCCCUUUGAGGGGGAGGUGGAAAGGAAGCUUCGGCCUCCGCAUUGAGAUGGGCCCGCGGCGCAUUAGCUUGUUGGUGGGGUAACGGCCUACCAAGGCGACGAUGCGUAGCUGGUUUGAGAGGACGAUCAGCCCCACUGGGACUGAGACCCGGCCCAGACUCCUACGGGAGGCAGCAGUGGGGAAUUUUGCCCAAUGCCCGAAAGUGUGAUGCAGCAACGCCGCGUGCGGGAAGACGGCCUUCGGGUUGUAAACCGCUUUCAGUUGGGACGAAGGUUCACGGGUUAAUAGCUCGUUGGAUUGACGGUACCUUCACAAGAAGCCCCGGCUAACUACGUG